AUCCUACGGGACGCAGCAGUAGGGAAUUUUGCGCAAUGGGGGAAACCCUGACGCAGCAACACCGCGUGAAUGUUAAGCCCUUCGGGGUGUAAAGUUCUGUCAAUAGGGACGAAUUUUGACUGUACCUAUAAAGGUAGCACCGGCUAACUCCGUGCAAGCAGCCGCGGAAAUACGGGGAGUGCAAGCGUUGUCCGGAAUCAUUGGGGGUAAAGCGUUCGUAGGCGGUAUGUCAAGUCUGAUGUUAAAGCCCGGG
rnacentral:rRNA from 1 species